rnacentral:rRNA from 1 species
AAAUUGAAGAGUUUGAUCAUGGCUCAGAUUGAACGCUGGCGGCAGGCCUAACACAUGCAAGUCGAACGGUAACAGGAAGCAGCUUGCUGCUUCGCUGACGAGUGGCGGACGGGUGAGUAAUGUCUGGGAAACUGCCUGAUGGAGGGGGAUAACUACUGGAAACGGUAGCUAAUACCGCAUAACGUCGCAAGACCAAAGAGGGGGACCUUAGGGCCUCUUGCCAUCGGAUGUGCCCAGAUGGGAUUAGCUAGUAGGUGGGGUAACGGCUCACCUAGGCGACGAUCCCUAGCUGGUCUGAGAGGAUGACCAGCCACACUGGAACUGAGACACGGUCCAGACUCCUACGGGAGGCAGCAGUGGGGAAUAUUGCACAAUGGGCGCAAGCCUGAUGCAGCCAUGCCGCGUGUAUGAAGAAGGCCUUCGGGUUGUAAAGUACUUUCAGCGGGGAGGAAGGGAGUAAAGUUAAUACCUUUGCUCAUUGACGUUACCCGCAGAAGAAGCACCGGCUAACUCCGUGCCAGCAGCCGCGGUAAUACGGAGGGUGCAAGCGUUAAUCGGAAUUACUGGGCGUAAAGCGCACGCAGGCGGUUUGUUAAGUCAGAUGUGAAAUCCCCGGGCUCAACCUGGGAACUGCAUCUGAUACUGGCAAGCUUGAGUCUCGUAGAGGGGGGUAGAAUUCCAGGUGUAGCGGUGAAAUGCGUAGAGAUCUGGAGGAAUACCGGUGGCGAAGGCGGCCCCCUGGACGAAGACUGACGCUCAGGUGCGAAAGCGUGGGGAGCAAACAGGAUUAGAUACCCUGGUAGUCCACGCCGUAAACGAUGUCGACUUGGAGGUUGUGCCCUUGAGGCGUGGCUUCCGGAGCUAACGCGUUAAGUCGACCGCCUGGGGAGUACGGCCGCAAGGUUAAAACUCAAAUGAAUUGACGGGGGCCCGCACAAGCGGUGGAGCAUGUGGUUUAAUUCGAUGCAACGCGAAGAACCUUACCUGGUCUUGACAUCCACAGAACUUUCCAGAGAUGGAUUGGUGCCUUCGGGAACUGUGAGACAGGUGCUGCAUGGCUGUCGUCAGCUCGUGUUGUGAAAUGUUGGGUUAAGUCCCGCAACGAGCGCAACCCUUAUCCUUUGUUGCCAGCGGUCCGGCCGGGAACUCAAAGGAGACUGCCAGUGAUAAACUGGAGGAAGGUGGGGAUGACGUCAAGUCAUCAUGGCCCUUACGACCAGGGCUACACACGUGCUACAAUGGCGCAUACAAAGAGAAGCGACCUCGCGAGAGCAAGCGGACCUCAUAAAGUGCGUCGUAGUCCGGAUUGGAGUCUGCAACUCGACUCCAUGAAGUCGGAAUCGCUAGUAAUCGUGGAUCAGAAUGCCACGGUGAAUACGUUCCCGGGCCUUGUACACACCGCCCGUCACACCAUGGGAGUGGGUUGCAAAAGAAGUAGGUAGCUUAACCUUCGGGAGGGCGCUUACCACUUUGUGAUUCAUGACUGGGGUGAAGUCGUAACAAGGUAACCGUAGGGGAACCUGCGGUUGGAUCACCUCCUUACCUUAAAGAAGC